rnacentral:rRNA from 1 species
UACGUAGGACGCAAGCGUUAUCCGGAUUUAUUGGGUUUAAAGGGUGCGUAGGCGGACCCAUAAGUCAGUGGUGAAAGACUGUCGCUUAACGAUAGCAUUGCCAUUGAUACUGUGGGUCUUGAGUAUAAUUGAGGUAGGCGGAAUGUGUAGUGUAGCGGUGAAAUGCUUAGAUAUUACACAGAACACCGAUUGCGAAGGCAGCUUACUAAGUUAUAACUGACGCUGAGGCACGAAAGCGUGGGGAUCAAACAGG